UAAUACAGAGGGGGCAAGCGUUGUUCGGAAUUACUGGGCGUAAAGGGCGCGUAGGCGGCCGCCUAAGUCAGACGUGAAAUCCCUCGGCUCAACCGGGGAACUGCGUCUGAUACUGGGUGGCUUGAAUUCGGGAGAGGGAUGCGGAAUUCCAGGUGUAGCGGUGAAAUGCGUAGAUAUCUGGAGGAACACCGGUGGCGAAGGCGGCAUCCUGGACCGACACUGACACUGAGGAGCGAAAGCCAGGGGAGCAAACGGGAUUAGAUACCCCGGUAGUCCUGGCCCUAAACGAUGAAUGCUUGGUGUGGCGGGUAUCGAUCCCUGCCGUGCCGAAGCUAACGCAUUAAGCAUUCCGCCUGGGGAGUACGGUCGCAAGGCUG
rnacentral:rRNA from 1 species